rnacentral:rRNA from 1 species
AGUGAACGCCGGCGGUAGGCCUAACACAUGCAAGUCGAACGGCAGCACAGUAAGAGCUUGCUCUUACGGGUGGCGAGUGGCGGACGGGUGAGGAAUACAUCGGAAUCUACUUUUUCGUGGGGGAUAACGUAGGGAAACUUACGCUAAUACCGCAUACGACCUACGGGUGAAAGCAGGGGAUCUUCGGACCUUGCGCGAUUGAAUGAGCCGAUGUCGGAUUAGCUAGUUGGCGGGGUAAAGGCCCACCAAGGCGACGAUCCGUAGCUGGUCUGAGAGGAUGAUCAGCCACACUGGAACUGAGACACGGUCCAGACUCCUACGGGAGGCAGCAGUGGGGAAUAUUGGACAAUGGGCGCAAGCCUGAUCCAGCCAUACCGCGUGGGUGAAGAAGGCCUUCGGGUUGUAAAGCCCUUUUGUUGGGAAAGAAAAGCAGCAGGUUAAUACCCCGCUGUUCUGACGGUACCCAAAGAAUAAGCACCGGCUAACUUC